UACGGGGGGAGCAAGCGUUGUUCGGAUUUACUGGGCGUAAAGGGCGCGUAGGCGGCCACUGCAAGUCGGUUGUGAAAUCCCCGGGCUUAACCUGGGAAUGGCAUUUGGGACUGCAAGGCUUGAGUGCGGCAGAGGAGACUAGAAUUCCUGGUGUAGCAGUGAAAUGCGUAGAUAUCAGGAGGAAUACCGAUGGCGAAGGCAGGUCUCUGGGCUGACACUGACGCUCAUGCACGAAAGCGUGGGGAGCAAACAGG
rnacentral:rRNA from 1 species